GAUUCUCCCUGAAAUCUAACAACUGUCAUGUGCCAGGAGCCUCUGAUAACCCUCAAGCAGUUUGGGUGUCCCAGCCCCUGUCACCCUCAGACCAUUAACUGAGAAACAAUCUCUCCUCCUUUAUGACAUCACAUUCACAGCAAAUGUGCUGGUCUAGGGAUUUACUGUAAAAUACUCUCCUGAAGGUCUGGACAUUCCUGAGGAUACCUUUCAACAUAAUCAGGAAUACAGCUGUGAUGAUUCAACUUUACCCAAAGACAGAUCCUUAAUGAUUACAGUUGUGAUGAUUCAACUUUACCCAAAGACAGAUCCUUAAUGAUUAGCACUGCAUGUGCACCAGCUUACAAGAAGCAGCCACACUAAGACUCCCAGACCUGACUUAUCCGAAAAGAAGAAAACUAAGAAAGAAGAGAAAAUAUCUCAGACUCAACCUGCAAAAGAAGAGGAAAAGUCACGGAGUCAACCUAGCUCAUUGCAUUUCCAGGGUCAACAUGGCUCACGUGCCCAGAGUUAACAUGGCUCACGUGCCCAGAGUCAACGUGAGAAACCAAAACAAUCAACACCAAUCCCAAAAACUCUAUUCCCAAAGUAGUCUUAAUUAAAUAUUAAUUCCUAUUCUGAUGUCAUUUGUUCUUCAUUAUUUUAAAUAAUUUG
rnacentral:lncRNA from 1 species